GGAAUCUUGGACAAUGGGCGAAAGCCUGAUCCAGCCAUGCCGCGUGAGUGAAGAAGGCCUUAGGGUUGUAAAGCUCUUUUGGUGGGGAAGAUAAUGACGGUACCCACAGAAUAAGCCCCGGCUAACUUCGUGCCAGCAGCCGCGGUAAUACGAAGGUGGCAAGCGUUGUUCGGAUUUACUGGGCGUAAAGAGCACGUAGGCGGUUGGGAAAGCCUCUUGGGAAAUCUCCCGGCUUAACCGGGAAAGGUCGAGAGGAACUAUUCAGCUAGAGGACGGGAGAGGAGCGCGGAAUUCCCGGUGUAGCGGUGAAAUGCGUAGAUAUCGGGAAGAAGGCCGGUGGCGAAGGCGGCGCUCUGGAACGUACCUGACGCUGAGGUGUGAAAGCGUGGGGAGCAAA
rnacentral:rRNA from 1 species